UGUUUUCUGUAGUAUAAUGUAACAUGAUUUAAACACAUUCUGUCUGCUUCUGCUUUCCAAGCACACACACAACACUCAUCAUAGUUUCAACGUGAUCAAGUGGUGGUGGCUCAGCCGGUUGAGACAACCAUGGGGUCAUCAGAGCAGUACCAGCCGCUAGCUACUUCUCAGACUCGACUCCCAUUCCCGAACUCCUGACUUGUCAUCUGCCGCAAUUGAAGAAUUUUUGGAGCAAAGGCCUAUAGCAUUGAGGUGGUCUAACCUCAGGACUGGUAUAUAGAAUCCAUGUCAGCUCCUAACUAUUGCUUUUGCUAUCAUGUUGUGUUUGGAGAUAUGGUACACUCAAGGGUUACUGCUUAUAUCAAGGCUCCUAGCUAGCCUACCCUAGCUUAGAAUCUCACUGGACUCCAUUUCUAGCUGCAUGAACUACUUGAACUGGGACAUGAAAUUUAUGCUAGGCCUUGCUGCUGCAGCAAGGUACGGCAAUUGGAAGCAGAUGGCAAGCUGUUGUAGCUUAUGUGAACCUGACGUCAGUCAUUAAGUUGUAAAAAAAAUAUUUAUUCUACAUGAUUUGAUCAGUUAAGUCUAUCUUUGUUAUUAGGGAUAAAAUCAUGUUUAUUUGUGGAAUAUCUUUUUAGGAAAUGUGUCGACUUUGGUCGAAAAUAUGGGAAAAAAAAAAGAAAGUCGAACACAAUCGAAACCGAUCCGCACCGCAAAACGGUGUAGGUUUUUAAAAUGCGGUUGUGGUAACUGAAUGAAGCGGUUCGGUUGCGGUUUUGACCCAACACCGAUCCGCACCGAACCGCGCCCACCCCUAUAUAUAUAUAUAUAUAUAUAUAUAUAUAUAUAUAUAUAUAUAUAUAUAUAUAUAGAUCCUAUCUAGAGCGAGGUCUCGCUUUGAAAUUUCAGAGCGAGGUUAGGGUUUAGGGUCACUUUUCGGUCGCAUAUCCACAUCUCAACCAUUCAGUUUCUAGGUACUAAUGUAUAGAUCAUCUCUGCAAAAUUUCAGCCAAAUUGAUGGUCGUUAAGGCAUUGAUAAUUGCCUUAAAGUUAGUACGGUUCAGGUUGGACAGAUUCAGUACCUAAAACCUGAACGGUUAAGAUGUGAAUAUGCGACCGAAAAGUGACCCUAAACCCUAACCUCGCUCUGGAUAGGAUUUGUAUAUAUAUAUAUAUAUAGGCCGGUUCUGAAGUGCGGACGGCGACGCAGCAGCGGCGUUCCAGGCGGCGACAGCUGCUCGGGGCUUGGCGGACGGAGGCCAGAGGCAUUCCAGACGGUUCUGGGCAGCGAUCGAGGUCGGAGGAGGUCAAGGUUGCAGGUUCUGGGCAGCGACUCGACCUGCAACUGCAACUUUCUGGGCAGAGCUGCAACCUCGUCUUCGGCGACUCCACCCGACUGCAGACCGGUCCGUCCUACCCCUGGCCUCCGUCCGGCAAGCCGCGCCGCGCCGUCGAAGCUUGAUCGAGACUGCUGCGUCGACGUCCGCAACAGUGCAGACGUCCUCUUUAGAACCGCUCCGUAUAUAUAUAUGUUUCCUACAGAUCGAUCGGCUUUAGUGGAAUCUUGAAUCUCCAAUUGCCAGCUGGGUUCAAAUCUUCUUCAGUUGCUUCUGAGAUCAACAUCGGAGCAAACCCAGACUCGAUUACGGAAUCCAUCAGUUGAGGUUAAAAAAGACCCACUUCAGAUUUUUAAGGAUUCUACCGCAUUGAAUGUGUUUAGAGAAGUGAAGGUGUCUGAUAAGAAGAAGAUUAUUGUAUCAGAUGUGAGCUUUGCGAAUGCACAUAGAGGUUUCUGUAGUUUAUAUUGGGGUAAUGAAGAAAGUAGAUAACUCAGAUAAAAGGAAGAAGGGGACGGGAACAAUCGAUCUGGAAAUCUAGGGCUACCAAAAGGGAGUAAGAAAUGCAGACACAAACUAAACUCAUGAAGAGGAACAACUCCAUGAUUGGCUCUCUCUCUCACUGCCAAUUUGAGAAUAAACAGUCUUCGCUCUGCUCAAAUGUAUUUCCCUAGACUCUUUUAUGCCAGCAAGAGUAACACUUUGUAGCUGAUAAGUGAACAAAGAAUUAAUACCAAACAAGAGUCAUUUAUAUGUGCAGUGAUGCCAGGAGUAGCUCUACACAGGUGGACUUCUCUUUAUUAGUAGUAACUUGCAGUAUGUUACAAGCUCGACCUUGGUGCUAUUCAUCUUCUCGAAAUCCCUAAGUAGUGCACAUCUGAAGCAACAGACUACACAUCUGAAGAACUCAUAUGGAAUGAUUGGUUCAAUCUUAAAAUGUAAGAUAUGUACUAUUUAGUACAAGCUUCUUUACAAUCUUGGAUAUUGGGAAAUGAGUUUCAGAAAGUCGUCACCACUGAGGUACCUACGAAAUUCACAUACCUCGUGGGAGAAAGGCAAUAGAUGCUUCUGCUCCCUAAUUAUCUUGUAGUAGAAGAGAUUGUUUGGGGGACAUACAUAAAAAUAGCUAAAGAUGUGUCUUGUACAUUCAUAAAUCACAACUAGUAAUCCCUGAGCAUGUACAGUUGUAGAGACCCUCUUCCUUCACACAUCUGGUAGAGGUAGUUCUACUGAGUUAAAUACCAUCCAGAACUGAACUCAAAGAGAGGACACACCUAUACUGUUUCUUCUUAAUCAUUCUUUCA